rnacentral:lncRNA from 1 species
CAAAAAUAAAUGUUAUAAUUACAGUAGAAGUCUGAACCUCUUUUGCACAAGAGGAAAAUGGGACUUGGUGCUUGCUAAAACAUGAAUACUCAUAAAGAUUUUUUCUCCUUUCUUCCCUCCCUCCUUCCCUCUUCCCUUUCUUUUUUCAUAGAAUUUCAAGAGUUAGAAGGCACCUUUUUAAUAGAUGCUAAUACUAGGAGAUUUAUGGUAAUAGGACAGGGACAGCAGGAAACCAGCUAGGGACAAGGCUGGAUCUUAUACUCCACCCCCCACCCCCACUACUUCCUGUCUCUUUCUUAACUGAAUCUAAAGGCUCUUCUCAAAAAUGAUCUCAAGGGCUUCUGGUAUGACGUAUUUGUGACCAAGAGGACCAGCUGCUCCAUCCCACUUAGGAGUCUGAACAAGAGUCUGGCACAACUCCAAGGCAAGACCUGAGAUGAGGAUGCUGGGAACCUUCUCAAAGGGACAAAGCACCAAGGCUAAAGCCUCCUAUAGGCUCCAGGUGGCUCACAGACAGCUGGCUGAAAUAGAUGAGCAUUUUGGCUGCAGUGCAGAAAUCCAGAGCUGCUGGAUGCUCUCCAUUUUUCAAAUAGGGAUUUGUAUCACUUUCAAUACAUUAAUGCUCAAGGAGAAGAGAGGUGGAAGGGUAAGGGGAGAUCGAGUAAAAAAAAAAGAAAGAAAGAAAAGAAAUUGGAUGAAUGAAACAUCUUUCUCUUUUUACCAGAAAACAGAAGCAAGGCCAAAAAGAAGCACACAAAAGUAGCAUGGCUCUGAAAACUAUAGGUUGAACUUAAUAUUUACUUUAAAAUAAAUGCAAA